GGACGAUGCCUUCAGGUUUUACUGCUCUGUGUUCAGAUUUGGAGUCUGUGCCCACACAGUGCAGUGGUAUUAUAAGGGUGAUGAGACAGAUAUAUCAGACCACCAACAGUUAACCUGUACAGCUAUUGUGUCAUUUAAAACUCCUCAUGUUGUUCAGAAGUCAAACUUUAAUGAGUUGCUGUAUUGUAAAGUAACAGACAAUAAGAGUGGACAAACACUGCUGUGUAAUGCCUUCUCUAAGUCCUCCUGUGAGAAAACAGACACAACAGGAAGCACAUCAACAGGAGGAAACGAGAUAACGGAGGACGAAACUCUGAAGAAACCAGGUUGGAUCAGGUUCAUCAUUGUGUCUGUGGGACUGGCAGUACUCAUAAUCAUUUUUG